rnacentral:tRNA from 1 species
GCCUGGGUGGCUCAGUCGGUUGAGCAUCUGACUUCGGCUCAGGUCAUGAUCUCGUGGUCUGUGAGUUCGAGCCCCGCGUCCGGCU